AAUGCAAACCAUGUCAACCACUUGAACAGAAGUCUUUGUUUCAGAGAGAGCUAGAAUAAUUUUGAGGAUUGAAAAAAGAAGAAAGAUGAAUACUCUACCUGCAGAGUGUCAGGAGAGAGCUUACUGGCAAUUCAGGGUACAGUCUGCUCUCAGUAGAGGACCAUGGGUGAUCUAGCCUCUGCAGCUGUACCUGGGGGAGCAUAGGACUGGUUACUGGGAACUAGUCACAGGUAUUUAGGGUCCUGAUGUAUGGUUGUUUCCCUGUUUCCUAUUCCUAGGCCUGGCCUCCUAGUUCAGGUCUUUGGUUUGACCCUGGCUGCAUAUCAUGGCUCUAACCAGGGGGUUGAAUUACCAAUCCUCUGGUUGUUACAGGAAGCCCUGAGCUAUUUGUUUGCUUUAGUGCAAUACUGAAAAUCCCAUUGUGAGAAGAAGGAUACCACCUGCAUACAAUCACCUAAAUACUAUUAGUCACAAAUGAAGAAGUAGCAGACUGGUGCUCCACCAGGGAAAAUAAACAGCAGAAGAGUAAGCUUCUCAGAAGGAAAGGGAAGGAAGAUUUAUAAAGGCCUGACUGAACAAAAAGACUGGGAUGAAGCCAUCAAGAUAAAUGUGGGAUUCAAGUAAUGCCUCAGAUCAGAGACAGAUGAAACUUUUGAAACAUUUCCAAGUACAAAAGCUCAUUAUAGUGUGAUACCAUUGAUGCAGACAGAAGAAUGCUACUGCUGCAAAACAAAAGAAAGAAGAGCUGUACUGAUAUUGGGUUUCCUUCAUUUACAACUUGUUUUUUAAUGUCAAAACUGGUUAAGGACAAAUAUUUUUGUGGUCAACUGGUGACUUAAGUGUUCUCUCUAGUUCACUAAAAGAUACCAUGUGGAUCUUUGUAAAGAUGGCUUAGCUUUAUAUUCAUAAAAUAAAGAAUAGUGCUCAACAUUUUAA